UUAACUCAAACUUGUAUGGAGUUGGAACGUUUGCCUACGUUUGCCGCUAGGGGCGCUGUUCCAACUGCAUACAAAUUUAAGUUA
rnacentral:pre_miRNA from 1 species